UACGGAGGAUCCAAGCGUUAUCCGGAAUUACUGGGCGUAAAGAGUUGCGUAGGUGGCAUAGUAAGUAGAUAGUGAAAUCGUGUGGCUCAACCAUGCUCACAUUAUCUAAACUGCUAAGCUCGAGGGCGAGAGAGGUAAUUAGAAUUGCUAGUGUAGGAGUGGAAUCCGUAGAUAUUAGUAGGAAUACCGAUGGCGUAGGCAGAUUACUGGCUCGUCCCUGACACUAAGGCACGAAAGCGUGGGGAGCAAACAGG
rnacentral:rRNA from 1 species